CAGAUUUUUUUUUUUAAUGGAUUCGGAGGCCUCCGGAUGGGUCGGUACUUCGUUUGCUCGUACGGGAGAGUUCUAGCGGCCACGGUUCCAGAGGUAAGCAUCUUCGAAUCAACAGGGUAUGAAUCAAACAGCUAGUAGAUGUUCUUGAGCUGCUGAUGAAGCAAUUCAUGUUCUUUGGCCGGUGGGGUUUGUUGAAAUGCUAAAUGGAGUUCAUGUAUAGAAGAAGAAAUAUGAUGCAAACGGGUGGAAUCACAAAUGAAAAGAAGAGGAAGAGCUUGAUCUGCCACCAGUGUCAGAUCCUGUAAUUGCAAAACCCGGCAGUAUUGUUAUACCUGCUUCAAGUUGUGUUUGGGCGGAAAAAGAAAUAACCGAAGUGCCAUUUCAAACUGAAGUUGCUGGCUUAUAUAUGUGAAGCCAAGAGAAAAUCGAGAGGAGAACGGAAAAUUUUGAAAGAGCACUGAAAGAACAUCAAGAAGCUAUAAUUGCACGGCAAUAGGACAGCCUGAAUAUCGCAUUUUGAGUCCUGUUGCUGGCUGGAAAACUAAUCUAAACCUGAAAUCCAGUAAGCCGAUUGUUUUCUUGCGCUGGAAUUUUGCCAAUAAAAACUGGAACUUUUGAAUUCUUGUCCAUUGAAUGAGUAACUUUAAGGGGUAGGGGGAAUAGUUCAAAGGCUAAUAAAACAAAAAUUGUAAGUUAACCACGUCAUCUGAUGAAACUGCCGGUCUCCAUAACAAAAGAAAAUUUUGAAAUACAACUCCCACACUCAUAACUUUUUAUGCUCCCUAAGUAAGAGAAGACUUGCUCUCAGAGUCUUAAGUUACAUCAUUAUUUUAAUAGUUCUAAUGCAGUACAAACAUACUUAUAUAAAGUCAGAGAAUAAAGCAACAAUGUAAGUACAAUAAAGGAGAAUGUUAUCGAUAAUGAGGAUAUAUUACAAGAAUCAAUCUUAUAAAUUCCUAAUAAAUAUUAAGCAUAUAUGAUAAUAAUAAUAUAGUAAUAAAAUAAUUGAAUAAUUCUAACACCCUUCUACAAACUCAUGAUGUUACAAUAAGAAGCAUGUAGAGUUUGUAUGGUGUAAAGAGGACUAAAAGAUCCAAGCCAAGGGCUAUUUAACAUCUUUUUCAAAAUUGUAGGUAUGAGUCCAUUGACAUUAGAAUGAAAUUUUUCUUCAAAAUAUAGAGAACAAUUGAGAGAUUGGCAUAGGGUCAAACAUUUGCCAUAACCAUAAGUGACAAAAUCAUCACGAGAUCUUCAUAGGUUCCUUAAGGGAUUUUCAUGGGAUUCUUAUAGGAUCUUUAUGAGAUCCUUGUGGGUUCUUCGAGAUAGGAGCUGAAGACACAAAAGAUAGAAAAGUGGAAAACAUCCAAGUUUGCGAGAGUAGUAGCAUGCAUAUGGUUCAACAAGAUGAAUUACAGUAGGCUGACAAGGUACGGGUGGAUAGAUUGCUAAUGGCUACUAGUGGGAUCUCAAGCAAGUGUAAUGAGGGAAUGAAUCAUAAUGAGGUGGGAGUAGGUGAAGCGGCUCAUGUGAGAAGGAAAAGUGUAGAGACUGAGCGAAUAGCAUCGAAGUGUGGGCGAGCGAAAAUAUCCGCUCUAGCAUGAGAAGACCAAGUGGGUGAAUCGCAAAGUGGUGACUCCUAGAUGGGUAAAUUGCAUGCUAUUAUAUCCAUGUGAGAUCUUUUGUGGAAUUCUCACGAGAUAUUCAAGGCUUAGAAAGGUGGCUCUGAUGCCAUGAUAGAAAUCAUAAAAAAGUUGUAUCUUUAUUUAAAUAAUCCUAAUGCUAGUAGAAAUAUGCCUAUAUAAAGGCAAGAUAAUAGUGCAUAAGGAAAGUACAAUAAAUGAGAAUAUCCUCUAUAAUGAGGAUUUAUUAUAAUAGUAAAUUUAUAAAUUCUUAAUAAAUAUUAAGCAUAUAUAAAAAUAUUAAUAUGAUAGCAAAAUAUUUCUAAUACUCUAAUAAACUGAAGCUGAGGUACAAGUUUUGUUUGUUUCUUUUUGGUACUUCAUAUAUUGCUUCAUAAUCAUAUAUUGUACUUGUUGAUAGACCUUCUUGAUCUUGUCAGCUCAUCUUGCCACCUUUAUAAUAAAUUAUGUUGUAUUGGUCGUCGAUAUAAGCUCUAAUAGGGUAAUGGGAUUUUCCCCAUAUAUACACUGCUUCAAAAGGACUUCAACCCGCCAUUUGUCUAGUGGACUAGUUGUAAUAAAAUUUAGCUUGGCCUUGAGUAAGAUCCCAUUGCUUGAUAUCAUUGCAAACAAAGCAAUGCAACAAGUUUCUAAGGCGGUGAUUCAUAGUCUUUGUAUGUUCAUUUAUUUAUGAAUGUGUCAUCUAGCUAUAUUGAAGUUUGGUUUCAUAUUCUACCACAACGUUCGCCAAAAAUGACUAAUAAAUUGAACAUCACCAUCAUAGUAAUAGAUUUGGAAAUACUAAGCAAGCACACAAUCUCCCAGAAGUAAAAAUUGGUAAUUUGCAAAGCAUCAUGUGUCUUUUGACAUGGAACAAAGUACGUCAAUUUGGUGAACUGAUUCACCACUAUCAUACUUGAUUUUUAAGCUACUUUAUGUUUGGAAGACCUACAUCAAAAUUCAAGUUUGCAUCCAUCCAUGGUGACUCAGGGAUUGAAAGGGGAGCAUAUAACCUUGUUUGCUAGCUUCUUGUUUUGCAAUAUGAAAAAUCAAACAUUCUUUGAUUAGUUCGUUAACUUCUUUUUGUAAAGAGGGCCUAUAAAAUUUUCUUAUAUUAGGGAUCUUGCCUUGUCUUGCCCAAAAUGGGGCUAUAAGGCCUCCAACUUGGAACUCAAGUAGGAUAAUUUUCAAACCAAACAUCAAGAAAUUCACAAUAUGUUUAAAAUAAAAACAAAUAUCGAUCUUAAAAAUGAAAAUACUAGAUGGUAUAGACCUGAUAUCGCUUUAAUUCCUUGUCAAAAUCUUCAUCUUUAAAAUGAAGUUUUGUAUCAUCUCAUAGACUAACCACUUUAGCAUACCUAAAUGAACAUGUUGGUAGUUAAUGGCAUCAACAACUUGAUUUUGGACACCCAAUUUAUACUUUAAGAUAUGGUAAAUUAAGAAAAGAUAUUUAUUCCACUUGUCAUGUCGAUCCUUAAUCUUACU